AUGGUCCCCCCCACCCCCCAUGUGCAUGCCCUGGGACCAGGGGAAGGGGGGGCAGGGCAGGGUGCCCCCCUCCAGCCACGCUCUUACAUAGGGUUCCUGAAGGCAAGGUCUUGGCAGCGGGGCGGCAGCGCAGGGUCCAUGACCAUGGACGAUGAGAGCAUCGGUGAGGUGCUGUGGGGAGGAGCAGGAGCAUUUUUUGGGGGGGGGAGGAGGAGGAAACAUGGCCCAGCCAUGCUAGGGGGAAGUGGGGGGGUCCAAUGUGUCCCCACCCCAAUCAUGGCACUGCUCCUACCUGGGGAAGGAGGACCCCAUGCCCUCGGGGACCAUCAUGUUCAUGUUGCUCUCACCCGCGGGGUAGCUGGGCAUGGGCUGGGAGCAGAAGGGAGCAGGGGGGCUGCGAGUGCAGAUGGGGGGGGGGCAGCAGGUGAGGGCAUCCUCCAGGGCAGCCCCCUCCCCUCCCAGCACGCGCCCAGAGAGCUGCCCCUGCCCCUGGGCGGGCACUCACCAGAUGGGGCUGAGCACCGACUGCAGGUUCUCGGGGCGCAGCUCUUGCUGCAGCACGGGCAGGCUGAACAUCUGAGCCUGGGGGGGCUCGGGGCCCCCCCCUGCAGUGCUCUGGGGCUGCUGGUCCCUGUAGAGGCACACCGACCCCCUCAGCACAGGCAGGACUCCUGCACUGUAGGGUCCUUGCUCACGAGCACCUCCCCAUCUCCCCGUUUCCCCAUUUCCCCCAGACAGAAAUCCCCCUGCCCAGCAGCGAUGCUCAGGCUGGCCGCUAUCACCUGCCCGUGCACACACCUCCAUGGGGGCUCGCCGACAGCCUCCUGCCCCCACCCACCUCUCGCUUUCCACCGUCAUCUUGAUGGCGGUGGAGACGUAGCCGCGGCCGUCCUUGCCCGUCUGCUCUUCUGCGGGGAGAGGAGAAGCAGCCGUGAGCCACCGCCCCGCAUGGGACGAUGCUGCACCAGCCUUGGCAGCAGGACCCUGGACCCAAAUCCCUCUGCCCCCCUCGCAGCCCCCCUGCUCCCCCCACUCACUGUUGUAGUGGCUGCCAAACGCCUGGUCCUUGGGGGUGUUGGGGUAGAGGUUGCGGAGCUGCCCCAGGUCCCGGAAUGCGGUCGCCGAGGGAUCGGAUGGACAGGUCCUUGGCGGAGAAGGGCUGGAUGUUCUCCACCUGGCUGGAGCCUGGGGGUGACACGGCACGGGGUCCACUGCCUGCCCCCCCCGUAA
rnacentral:lncRNA from 1 species